rnacentral:tRNA from 1 species
AAAAAGAUAAGCUAAAUUAAGCUUAUGGGCUCAUACCCCGUCUAUGAAGACAACUUCUCUUUUUA